GACAGAGGGUGCAAACGUUGUUCGGAAUCACUGGGCGUAAAGCGCACGUAGGCGGCUUUUUAAGUCAGGGGUGAAAUCCUGGAGCUCAACUCCAGAACUGCCUUUGAUACUGAGAAGCUUGAGUCCGGGAGAGGUGAGUGGAACUGCGAGUGUAGAGGUGAAAUUCGUAGAUAUUCGCAAGAACACCAGUGGCGAAGGCGGCUCACUGGCCCGGUACUGACGCUGAGGUGCGAAAGCGUGGGGAGCAAACAGG
rnacentral:rRNA from 1 species